rnacentral:pre_miRNA from 1 species
UCGGGGUAAAAUAGUGAGAAGCCGACAUGGGGAACUGAUCGAUCCUUGGGAUAAGUUUAAUUUUUUUUUUUACUCCAUAAACUUUUUACCGUGGGUAAAAAGAUUCUUAUUAGGGUAUAAAGAAAAUCAAAUUUAAAUUUAGCCCAAGAGUUGAUGAUGUAUUUUUCCCAUGAAGGCUGCUCACUAUUUUACCCCAU